GCAGACGAGACAGGCGAGAGUCACACUCGCGACGCGCGGGGUGGUGAAUGGUGAAUGGGGGUGUCGCGCGCAUAAAUGACGCUCAGCAAUGGGGGCAGCCGCCGCACCGGUGUCCGUCCGCGGAUUAUUAUUGAUUCGCGAGUGCGGCGGCGGGCAGCACCGGGCGACGACCACCAGCAGCAGCGUCCGGCGAUCGAGGCAGCGGGCGGCCGACUCAAGAGGUCGUGGGCAGGUCAGCCGCGGGCCGCGCCGAGUGUGGCAAACUGGAUUUCCCCUUUACAACUCCUGCUUGCAUAUGUAUGCACUUUUACAAAUACACCUCUGCGUCUUUCAAUACGAAUAUCGCAGUGGGCAGCAGUUAUAAGCAGGUAUUCGAUCAGAACGGCAGCAUGUGAGCAGCCCCUCGUCUAGACCUCUCUUUUCUACAACAGUUCAAAUUUAAUUACACCAAGCAUGCAGACUGAGCAGAAUACCUGCUAGAAUUUCCAUCAUGUUCUUUACGCGCCCACACGAGCAACUUCGGAAUUUGCAAUUUGACCCAGCGGCAGCAACAACAACCUUCUAAUAUACAUCGAAAUCAUCGCCGGCCAAGUAAUUAAAUCAUCAGCCCGUGAAAUAAUUACGGCCCGAGUGAUUUUUCGACCUGUGCCAGAUCAAAGAGCGGCAUCAGAGAAGCUGCGGGCUCCUUUAAGAUGGAAAUCUGCGAACCCGACUGAAUUCCUGCACGAGUGAAUGCGCGCGUUCUCCACUCGCCUUCGUGGAACUGCAAACGUGCUCUCUGCCUGCUUUUUAUCCGCUGCGAGACAAAGUUGGACAAAGCGACGAGAGAGAGAGAGAGCGAGAGAGCGCCGUCAAAAACUUGGCUGCAGCUUUGCGAAAUAAUGAACGCUUUGCUGCUGAAUCGUCCACUGAGUUAUUUGCUGCUGCUGCUGCUUCUGCGGCUCUAAACUUUUUGCCCACCGGAAUGUGUUUUGUGUUCAGAGGAAAGGAUUGAAUUUCGCGUAGUUUUGUUAAAAGAAAAAAUUGAUAGCUAUAUUAUAAUUAAGAUUUCUUGUUUUGAUGCAAAAAUUUUAUAUAAUUCUAGAUUGAAUUUAAGUUAAUCACAGACGCUGAAUAUAUUGUGUAGAAUUAAAGAUGUUGAAGGAGGUUGAAGCCUGAUUUUUAUUUCCAUAAGCGCAUUUUACUGAGAAGUUGGUGUCCAUCCUAUUUAAAGAUAUGAUUAUUUUAAUUUAUUAAUG